AGUGAACGCUGGCGGUAGGCCUAACACAUGCAAGUCGAACGGCAGCACAGUAAGAGCUUGCUCUUACGGGUGGCGAGUGGCGGACGGGUGAGGAAUACAUCGGAAUCUACUUUUUCGUGGGGGAUAACGUAGGGAAACUUACGCUAAUACCGCAUACGAUCUACGGGUGAAAGCAGUGGAUCUUCGGACCUUGCGCGAUUGAAUGAGCCGAUGUCGGAUUAGCUAGUUGGCGGGGUAAAGGCCCACCAAGGCGACGAUCCGUAGCUGGUCUGAGAGGAUGAUCGGCGACACUGGAACUGAGACACGGUCCAGACUCCUACGGGAGGCAGCAGUGGGGAAUAUUGGGCAAUGGGCGCAAGCCUGAUCCAGCCAUACCGCGUGGGUGAAGAAGGCCUUCGGGUUGUAAAGCCCUUUUGUUGGGAAAGAAAAGCAGCAGGUUAAUACCCCGCUGUUCUGACGGUACCCAAAGAAUAAGCACCGGCUAACUUCGUG
rnacentral:rRNA from 1 species